UACGAAGGGGGCUAGCGUUGUUCGGAAUCACUGGGCGUAAAGCGCACGUAGGCGGUUUUCUAAGUCAGGGGUGAAAUCCUGGAGCUCAACUCCAGAACUGCCUUUGAUACUGGCGGCCUUGAGUCCGGGAGAGGUGAGUGGAACUGCGAGUGCAGAGGUGAAAUUCGUAGAUAUUCGCAAGAACACCAGUGGCGAAGGCGGCUCACUGGCCCGGUACUGACGCUGAGGUGCGAAAGCGUGGGGAGCAAACAGG
rnacentral:rRNA from 1 species